rnacentral:rRNA from 1 species
UACGUAGGGUGCAAGCGUUAAUCGGAAUUACUGGGCGUAAAGCGUGCGCAGGCGGUUAUGUAAGACAGGUGUGAAAUCCCCGGGCUUAACCUGGGAAUUGCAUUUGUGACUGCAUGGCUAGAGUGUGUCAGAGGGGGGUAGAAUUCCACGUGUAGCAGUGAAAUGCGUAGAUAUGUGGAGGAAUACCGAUGGCGAAGGCAGCCCCCUGGGAUAACACUGACGCUCAUGCACGAAAGCGUGGGGAGCAAACAGG